AUUGAACGCUGGCGGCAGGCCUAACACAUGCAAGUCGAACGAGUGGCGGACGGGUGAGUAAUGUCUGGGCAACUGACUGGGGGGUGGGGAUAACUACUGGAAACGGAAGCUAAUAACGCCUACCAUCAGAUGGGCCCAUAUGGGAUUAGCUUGUUGGUGGGGUAACGGCUAACCAAGGCGACGAUCCCUAGCUGGUCUGAGAGGAGGAACAUCCACACUGGAACUGAGACACGGUCCAUACUCCUACGGGAGGCAGCAGUGGGGAAUAUUGCACAAUGGGCGCAAGCCUGAUGCAGCCAGGCCGCGUGUAUGAAGAAGGUCUUCGGGUUGUAAAGUACUUUCAGCGGGGAGGCGUUACCCGCAGAAGAAGCACCGGCUAACUCCGUGCCAGCCACCGCGGUAAUUC
rnacentral:rRNA from 1 species